AUUGAACGCUGGCGGCAUGCCUUACACAUGCAAGUCGAACGGCAGCAUGAUCUAGCUUGCUAGAUUGAUGGCGAGUGGCGCACGGGUGAGUAAUACAUCGGAACGUGCCCUGUAGUGGGGGAUAACUAGUCGAAAGAUUAGCUAAUACCGCAUACGACCUGAGGGUGAAAGUGGGGGACCGCAAGGCCUCAUGCUAUAGGAGCGGCCGAUGUCUGAUUAGCUAGUUGGUGAGGUAAAGGCUCACCAAGGCGACGAUCAGUAGCUGGUCUGAGAGGACGAUCAGCCACACCGGGAAUGAGACACGGGCCAGAAUCCCAAGGGAGGGAGGAGGGGGGAAUUUUGGAAAAUGGGGGGAAGCCCUAUCCAGCCAAAGCGCGGGGGUGAAAAAGGCCUUUGGGGUUGAAAGGCCUUUUUUUGGGGAAAAAAAGGGGUCGGGUAAAACCCUGGGGUCGUGAAGGUACCCGAAAAAAAAGGACCGGCUAAAUUAGUG
rnacentral:rRNA from 1 species